CCUACGGGUGGCAGCAGUGAGGAAUAUUGGUCAAUGGGCGCGAGCCUGAACCAGCCAAGUCGCGUGCGGGAUGAAGGUUCUAUGGAUCGUAAACCUCUUUUAUAUGGGAAUAAAGUGUGGGACUUGUCCUAUUUUGUAUGUACCUUAUUAAUAAGGAUCGGCUAACUCCGUUCCAACAGCCGCGGUAAUACGGAGGAUCCGAGCGUUAUCCGGAUUUAUUGGGUUUAAAGGGUGCGUAGGGGGUAUGUAAAGUCAGUGGUAAAAGUGCGGUGCGCAACGCUGUCGAGACGGUGAAUCUGGGGUGCGUGAGUGGGAGAGAAGUAUGCGGAAUGCGGGGGGUAGCGGUGAAAUGCAUAGAGAUCAAGGAGAACUCAGAUGGCGAAGGCAGGAUACCGGCGCCCUACUGACGCUGAGGCACGAAAGCGUGGGUAGCGAACAGGAUUAGAUACCCUUGUAGUC
rnacentral:rRNA from 1 species